UGAUGAAGAGGUCUCGAGCAAGAGUUUUUGCAAGAGUUUUUGCGUUCUUUAUUAUUCGCUCACUUGUGUACAAAUGGUUACAUCGAUAAGCUCGAACCGUGCGCUCUCGAAUCAGCGGUGGAUUCCUGGUGAACGGAGUCCUUUGAGCGUCGAGACGAGCAUCAAAGGACUUUCUUAUGCGCUUACGCGGAACUCGGUAAUAGGAAGAUGACGUUUACGAGGCGGGCGGUACAACAAGAAAGCGCGAGCUAUCUUUAUCUCGAGAGCGAGAGACGUAUCCGGUCGUGCCGUGCUCUUUCUACCACCCUUCCAUCGUUCUCAUUCAUGAUGGAAUAAAGGAUGUAACGAAAAACAAAUUUACACGUGAAGGGUAUAAUAUAAAGAAAUUGCAGUAUCAACACGAAAGGAUGCAGAAGGUAAGUAUAAAGGUAAGUAUAAGACUUCUUAGUCCAUUAGAUUUAAGUAAAAUGUUGAAAAAAUGAUUACUUCUCGUAAAUAUGGAGAAGGUAAGUACAAACCAGGUAAGUACAUUCAAUAAAAAAUUUCACGUGCCACCAAUAUUUUUAAACAAUAAAUACAAAGUACAAAAAAAACCAAAAAAAUUCUUGGAUAUGGAAAUUUUAGAAAAAUUUAAUACCCAUGGAAUUAUAUUUUCCUAAUGCAAAAUCGAAAAUAUAGAAAGUGUUUAAAAUGGCAGAAAUUUCAAUUUUAUAUUAGGAGAACAUAAUUCGUAAAGAGGUAGCACACUAAAUUUCCAAGAAAAUUCAGAAAUCAGAAAUUUUUGGCUGAUUUUCGACUUUUCAUUAAGAGAAUAUAA